rnacentral:misc_RNA from 1 species
GCAGUGGUUGUUCACAGGGAUAGGAUGAAUGAUACAUCUACUGGUCAUUAUGUCUGUUACAUAAAGACUGCCCGUGGUGAAUGGUUUGGGGUUAAUGACAGCUUAGUAAUGCCUGUGGAAUUGGAGAGGGUCUUAUUAGAAGAGGCAUAUAUGCUCCUCUAUGCGAGGCACUUUCCUCGAGGCCCGGCUGUAUUGAAGGGCAACAUAGAGACUCAUGGUGUGAAGUCUAAGAAAAGGAACUUGGAAGCUGUUCCUUCCCGCCUCAGUACUUCAAAGGUGAGGUCUAACUCCCACUGUUCAAGCACUGAUCCAUCAAAGGCACAACAGAAGCAUGGCAAAUACCCAUACUGGGCAGCUUCAGAUGAUUUUACCGGCA